CCUAUACUUACCGUAGGUGCGAAGCCCCAGUGUUCCAAGACAGGUGAGCAGACUCAACGGAACCCCCAAACACUUCCAUACCUGGUUGGAGGUGUUCCAGUCUGCGAGGAAUCAUUUCUAUUCAUAUAUGGCAUCAGCAGAGAGCGUCUAAUAUUCCUCCACCGAUCCUACCAGGAGAACGGUACAAAGCCACCCACCUCACCAACUACCACUGGUCGUCCACAUAAUCCUGUAGCCCCUGCGGCUGCCACUGUCCGGCCACGCAAGCCCCGUGCUACUGCGAAGAAGAAAUAGCAAGUCUUGACCAGCAAAUGCAUAUGUACGUUAUCCAUUGCAUUGCAGACUUUGAAUUAUUCUGCAUACAGUUGGUUCACUAACAGCACACAAAUCUCCUGUUUCACGAUGGAAGGUUCCAGAUGCCAAAAACCUCAAGUUGAUCAGGAUGGGCUUUCCCCUAAGAGAGUCAGAUGAAAGCCUUGGCUCAAGCAAACAAAUGAUGUCAGCUGCA
rnacentral:lncRNA from 1 species